AAUGAAUAGACUAGGUUUGACCUGCAUCUCAUCCAUACUGCGGAUUUAGCGGAUGUUUGACUUUAACAUUGAAAAGCCCUUUUGAUCUAUAUUUUAUUUUAGGAAAAGCCACUCCU